ensembl:lncRNA
GGGGAUGUCACUGGCCCUGGAUCUUGUAAACUGGAUAAAUGUUCGCUGAAUGAGUGAGUGACUGAUCUGAGCCGUAGCUAUGGCAACUAGAUGGUCCAGCCCCUGGGGAAGUGCAGCGGGAAGGUGUUUUCUGCGAGGAGGGCCCGAGAUGCGCUAGGGCAUGUCCGGCGGAAGUGUGAUUGUUUAUCGGGGUGCGGGGGGAGACCUCCGGGCUUGCACAUAGGCAGGGGCCGGACCUGAGGGAGAACAUCCGUCCCUGUGGAUGGCCGCGUUUCUCGGGCUCUCCAGGGUUCUUGACCCGGGGCGAGGGUGGGUGGGGCCGGGGAGGGAGGGGGAGGGAGGUGGGAUGAGGUAUUACAGUUGGUCAUUUCCACAGACUAAAGGACCUCUGUUGGGCAAAUACACCUUCGAGACUGGGGGGGGAGGGGAGCCCGAGCAGAGGGAGGGGGAGCGACAGCCAGAUGCGGGGAAAGAGCGAGGCCGGGGCGGGGGGGGGGGAGGGGCAGGCUGCGGGGAUUGCGUGCCUGCAGGGGCGGUAAGCCGCAGUGACCCCACCCAGGGAGGGGAGGGGAGGGACCGGAGGGGAACCCUCCCUCUGCUGGCCUUGGGGGUGGGGAGGGCCCUUCCCCGGGUGUGUCCCCUUGGUCACCUGGGGUCGCAGUGUUUGAAUACGGGCCCUCUCGCUGCCUCUCAAGUAUAUGGUGUCAGCCUCACCAUCCCCCACCCCCCGCAACCCGCAGCUUUCCCGUCCCCGCGGAGACCCAAGUUGGCCGCAGCCUCCCGGACCUGGGAUGCUCGGAUGCUCUCGGUGGAGGGGCGGGGCGGGGCGAGGAGAGCCGGGGGAGAAAGCCCUCGCACCUUUUCUCCGCACAGGAAAAGGGGAGGAUGUGGGGAGAGGGGCAGUUAAGGGUCUUGGGGGGGGGAGAGGCGGUGUUAUAGCUUCGGAGAGUGAAGUUGCACGGGAAGAGGCUUUGAGGCGGGAGGAGCCGGGGGAGAGGGGCUCUGGGGGGAGAAGGGGCUGCAGAGGAGCAGUGGGGGUUGAGGGAAGGAGCGAAGAGGAGUUUCUGGGGGGGGGGGUUAGGCUCUGUAGGGGAGAAGGUUCUGGGCCAGGAGGAGCCGGGGAGCUGUGGUGUGCGUGUGCUGGGGGUGGGGUGGGGGUUGGCGGGCAGGCGCAUCUUCUCCAGACAUCUGUCUGGCAGGAAGCCAGAGCCGGCGAUUUCCCGGAGAUGCUGCCGUGUUCCGAUCGAUGACCAAUGGGCCGACAAAGAGCUCCCCCCAACGGAUCCCAGGCCAGCCUCCUCUGAGGGGAAUCUCAGGGCUCGGGAGAUCCACGGGGACGGAGGAAGCCACAUGUUCUGUCUUGCAGUCACUGAGAAAAAACGCGGGUCUUCGAGAGGAAGGGCGCGGGAGGGGCAAAGGGGCCCAGCCAUUGAGGCUCUGUGGAGAGUCUGGGGGCUUUAGAGCCGGCGCUGACCGAUAGCCUUCCCCGCACUCCUUCCACCCGAGUCUGGAAAGGCAAAGGUUAGAGGCCUCCUAGCUUGGGGUAAGCCCAAUCGAAGAUUCUUGGGGUUGAAAAGAAUAAGGGGGUGCUUGACCACAUUGCCUCCUCCCCCCACGACCCUCCCCCUCUCCUUAUCCUCCCUUCCCCCAUCACACUCCCUCCUUUCAAGGUGCCCCAGUGCCCAAGCAACCCCCUUCCCUAGCUUCCCCGGGCCUGUGGAAUGGCCAUCCCUUCUUGCUCCACCCUGGGUGCAGCUCCCCCUGAGGGGCCCCUUCCUCCCACCCCCCUGUGUUUUGGGGGUGGGGCAUCAGGGAGGCGGGGGGAAAGAGACAGAGACAGAGACAGACAGACAGACACACACACACAGAGGGGGAGAGAGAGAAAGAGAGAGACAGAGACAGACAGGCACAGAGACAGACAGAUACAAAGAGAGACAGAGACAGACAGGCACAGAGAGAGACACACAGAGAGAGACAGAGAUACAGAGAUAGAGAUGCCUUCAGUACCAAAAAUUGAUCCUCAAGCCUGUAUCCUACACCUGGGAAUUUGAGAAAAUGAGCUCAUAAAACUUUUCAAAAACCUAUGGGUUCUUACCAAAUUUAAAUCUGAGGGCUCAAUGGACUUGGGAAAAGGUUCCUUUCCCAACUCAUGGGAAGCCCUCCCGACUCCUUGGGUUUUCUAAGGAUCCUGAGGAGGACAUGUGUCAGACCCCUCUCCCUCCGAGGUAGUAGAAGCUCAGGGAACCCUCAACUGAGGAAAGAGGCGGAAUUCCAAAACCAACAGUCAGAUCCAGGGAGCCACCUGGGGGCUUACAGGAGGAAACGAGUGUAGUGGUUAGGGUACCAGAGAUCUGAAGCAGAAAACUUGGGUUGGAAUCCUCCCUUACAAGACCCUGGGAAGUUCAAUGUUAAUAUCUGUUUUCUUUAUCUAUGAAAUGGGAAUAACUUGGCAAAUCCUAAAGCAUUAUAUGAAUGUGACUAGACAGAAGAUAAAGGUGGAAGCUGGAAAGACUUCCCAGAGAAGAGAUUUUAAACCGAGUCUAGAAAGGCGAAACAAAGGAAAUUAGGUAUAAGUGUGAGAAAGUGGGACAGAUUGACUGAAAACAUGCCUGCCAAUCAUUCAUGCUCUGAAAGAAAUCCUGAGGUAAUUAAUCAACCCCCAAGUAUUUAUUAAGCAUUUACUAUGUGGUAGGAACUUUGAUAGAUACUGGGGACACAAAGACAAAAAUGAACCAAUCCCUAUUUUUAAGGAAAUUGCAUUCUAUCAGGGAAGAGAAUUUGAUAGACAGAUACAUAGAUGAUAGGCAGAGAGAUAGAUAGAUACAUGGAUAUAUAGAUGGAUAGAUGGGUAGGUAGAUGGAUAGAUAGAUAGAGGGGUAGAUGAGUGGAUGGAUAGAAAGAUAGAUAGAUGACUGAAUUGAUAAAUGGGUAGGUAGGUACUUGGACGGAUGGAUGGAUGAAUGACAAACUGAGAUAGGUACUGAGAUAGAUAGGAAAAAA